UACGAAGGGGGCUAGCGUUGCUCGGAAUUACUGGGCGUAAAGGGAGCGUAGGCGGAUAUUUAAGUCGGGGGUGAAAGCCCAGGGCUCAACCCUGGAACUGCCUUCGAUACUGGAUAUCUAGAGUAUGAGAGAGGUGUGUGGAGCUCCGAGUGUAGAGGUGAAAUUCGUAGAUAUUCGGAAGAACACCAGUGGCGAAGGCGACACACUGGCUCAUUACUGACGCUGAGGCUCGAAAGCGUGGGGAGCAAACAGG
rnacentral:rRNA from 1 species